UACAGAGGGGGCAAGCGUUGUUCGGAAUUACUGGGCAUAAAGGGCGCGUAGGCGGCCUGCUAAGUCGAACGUGAAAUCCCUGGGCUCAACCCAGGAACUGCGUCCGAUACUGGUUGGCUUGAAUCCGGGAGAGGGAUGCGGAAUUCCAGGUGUAGCGGUGAAAUGCGUAGAUAUCUGGAGGAACACCGGUGGCGAAGGCGGCAUCCUGGACCGGCAUUGACGCUGAGGCGCGAAAGCCAGGGGAGCAAACGGG
rnacentral:rRNA from 1 species